GAAAUGAAUUGUCAUCAUUUAAAGAGACACACAAAAGGUUGCAUAGAGAAACAUAGAGAUUAGUCAACUACCUUGAGAGUUAAGAUUCAGAGGAAGAAAGGUGAGGAAGAUGAUGGAGAACACUGUUCGGAGAUUGAAUCUCCGCCGUCUCUUGGAACUCAUAGGAGAUUGAUUUCUUUGCUUCUGUGGUUGUUUCCGAAAGAAGGAAGAAGGAAGAGAAUAUUGGAGGAGCAGUUGAAUUCGUCGUUGAGGAUUAAGAAGACUAAUCAACGGUUGAUGCUCUUUCAACCUUUGUUUAAUUAUCGUAAACCCAACGACCAAUUUUCAUUACUCUCUUAAGAUUUUUCUUUUCUAAAAGAAACAACAGUUUGAAGUUUAUUAUACACACUUGUGCAAGUUGCUUAACAAAGUCAUAGAAUUUAAAUCAUGAUAAGUUUCUUUUACCAAAUUUUUACCUAAUAAAUAUGUUCUUGAUUUUGUAGACUAA